CGUAGGUGGCAAGCGUUAUCCGGAAUUAUUGGGCGUAAAGCGCGCGUAGGCGGUCUCUUAAGUCUGAUGUGAAAGCCCCCGGCUCAACCGGGGAGGGGUCAUUGGAAACUGGGAGGACUUGAGUACAGAAGAGGAGAGUGGAAUUCCAUGUGUAGCGGUGAAAUAGCGCAGAGAUAUGGAGGAACACCAGUGGCGAAGGCGGCUCUCUGGUCUGUAACUGACGCUGAGGUGCGAAAGCGUGGGAUCAAACAGGAUU
rnacentral:rRNA from 1 species